rnacentral:rRNA from 1 species
ACGGAGGGUGCAAGCGUUGUUCGGAAUUACUGGGCGUAAAGCGCGUGUAGGCGGACUCAGAAGUCGGGUGUGAAAGCCCCGGGCUUAACUCGGGAAGUGCGCUCGAAACCAUGGGUCUUGAGAACCGGAGGGGAUCGGGGAAUUCCCAGUGGGGGGGGGAAAGUCGGAUUUCUUGGGAGGAGCAGCGGAGGCGAAGGCACAAAAGAGGACGGUUACUGAUGUUGAUCCGGGAAAGCGUCUGUAGCAAAAAG